CACGUGUAGCGGUGAAAUGCGUAGAGAUGUGGAGGAACACCAGUGGCGAAGGCGACUCUCUGGUCUGUAACUGACGCUGAGGAGCGAAAGCGUGGGGAGCGAACAGGAUUAGAUACCCUGGUAGUCCACGCCGUAAACGAUGAGUGCUAAGUGUUAGGGGGUUUCCGCCCCUUAGUGCUGCAGCUAACGCAUUAAGCACUCCGCCUGGGGAGUACGGUCGCAAGACUGAAACUCAAAGGAAUUGACGGGGGCCCGCACAAGCGGUGGAGCAUGUGGUUUAAUUUGAAGCAACGCGAAGAACCUUACCAGGUCUUGACAUCCUCUGACAAUCCUAGAGAUAGGACGUCCCCUUCGGGGGCAGAGUGACAGGUGGUGCAUGGUUGUCGUCAGCUCGUGUCGUGAGAUGUUGGGUUAAGUCCCGCAACGAGCGCAACCCUUGAUCUUAGUUGCCAGCAUUCAGUUGGGCACUCUAAGGUGACUGCCGGUGACAAACCGGAGGAAGGUGGGGAUGACGUCAAAUCAUCAUGCCCCUUAUGACCUGGGCUACACACGUGCUACAAUGGACAGAACAAAGGGCAGCGAAACCGCGAGGUUAAGCCAAUCCCACAAAUCUGUUCUCAGUUCGGAUCGCAGUCUGCAACUCGACUGCGUGAAGCUGGAAUCGCUAGUAAUCGCGGAUCAGCAUGCCGCGGUGAAUACGUUCCCGGGCCUUGUACACACCC
rnacentral:rRNA from 1 species